rnacentral:rRNA from 1 species
CCUACGGGCGGCAGCAGUGAGGAAUAUUGGUCAAUGGGCGCGAGCCUGAACCAGCCAAGUCGCGUGAGGGAAGACGGUCCUAUGGAUUGUAAACCUCUUUUGUCGGGGAGCAAAAGACGCCACGCGUGGCGUUCCGAGAGUACCCGAAGAAAAAGCAUCGGCUAACUCCGUGCCAGCAGCCGCGGUAAUACGGAGGAUGCGAGCGUUAUCCGGAUUUAUUGGGUUUAAAGGGUGCGCAGGCGGAAGAUCAAGUCAGCGGUAAAAUUGAGGGGCUCAACCUCUUCGAGCCGUUGAAACUGGUUGUCUUGAGUGGGCGAGAAGUAUGCGGAAUGCGUGGUGUAGCGGUGAAAUGCAUAGAUAUCACGCAGAACUCCGAUUGCGAAGGCAGCAUACCGGCGCUCAACUGACGCUGAUGCACGAAAGUGUGGGUAUCGAACAGGAGUAGAUACCCCUGUAGUC